rnacentral:rRNA from 1 species
GACGAACGCUGGCGGCGUGCUUAACACAUGCAAGUCGAACGGUAAGGCCCUCCGGGGUACACGAGUGGCGAACGGGUGAGUAACACGUGGGUGAUCUGCCCUGCACUUCGGGAUAAGCCUGGGAAACUGGGUCUAAUACCGCUUAGGACCACUGCCUGCAUGGGUGGUGGUGGAAAGCUUUUGCGGUGUGUGAUGUGCCCGUGGCCUAUCAGCUUGUUGGUGGGGUGAUGGCCUACCAAGGCGACUGGGGGUAGCCGGCCGCAUCGGGCGACCGGCCACACUGGGACUGAGAUACGGCCCAGACUCCUACGGGAGGCAGCAGUGGGGAAUAUUGCACAAUGGGCGCAAGCCUGAUGCAGCGACGCCGCGUGAGGGAUGACGGCCUUCGGGUUGUAAACCUCUUUCAGCACCGACGAAGCGCAAGUGACGGUAGGUGCAGAAGAAGGACCGGCCAACUACGUGCCAGCCGCCGCUGUAA